CUUUUGGUGGCUGAAGCGUAGGUGACUGAUUGUAAAUCAGUUUAUGGAGUCCCUCCCCAGGUGC
rnacentral:tRNA from 1 species